CAUUUGUGCAUACAUACAUGAAAGAAAAAUUCAUUCUGUGAUAUAUAUAAUACCUAACCAAUAGUGAUAAUCAAUAACCAAUAAUAUUGUUGUUGUUCCUGUUGUUAUGAUGAUCAGUAUCAACAUUGCUGUUGCUCUUGCUAUAUUAUUAUUAUUAUUGUUGUUGUUGUUGUUAUUAUCAUCAUCAUCACCACAUGUUGUUAUGAUCAAUACCAGCUGUUUUUCUAGUUUCUGUUACGUGAUGUUGUUGCUGCUGCUGCUGCUGUUGUUACUAUUAUGGGUUUAUAUAUAUAUAUAUACACGUAUAUACAUUUGUUUUCUUCUCAAUUUCAUUAUUGCAGUUAUAUUUAUUGCUCAUAUUGUUGUUGUUGUUUUUUAAUUAGUCCAGAUUCAUUCUCUCCAUCUCCUUCCUUCCUUCAUUUCGCUUCGUUAGAAUGAAAAUGAAAUUCAUAGACACAGCCACCGACUCGUUCAUCAUCAUCAUCAUCAUCAUCAUUAUGACCAUCAUUGUCACCACCAUCGUCAUCAUCUGUCAUCAUCACCAUUAUUAAGGAAGCCAUCAUCAUCAUCAUCGUCACCACCACCACCAUAAUCACCAUCAUCGUCAUCUUCAUUACUAUUGUCAUCAUAAUUGUUGUAUACAUACCUCAUACCCUUUGCAAUCAUACAAACAGAUACACACUCAUAUAAACUGAAGGUGGGGAGGUGGCAGAAACGUUAGCACCAGUUACACACUGGGGUCAAUGUAAUUGACUUAGUUAGUUAGUUAGUUAGUUAGUUAGUUAGUUAAUUUUUUGGCUCAAAAAGCAAAAAAGCAAGGCCAUGUUGGGGGACAUGGAGUUAUGUACAGGGUGGUGUUCAUGUAAAGAGUUCAGGUCACUUGUGGUCAAGGGAGACUUUGAACCGAGCGGUCGUCGGCAUCUUCACUAUCUCGUCCGGCAGCUUAUUCCACGGAUCCACAACCCGGACAGAGAAAGGCCCUCUCCUUCGAUUGAGAUGAAAUUGUCGCACAUAGAGCUUUUCGGAGUGACCCCGCAGACGACGCUCUGGAGCAGGAGUGAAGAACAGCUCUUUCGAGGGGUUACACUUUCCGCUUAUGAUGUUGCCCUUUGUCUGUCCUUGUUUGUCCCCUCUAUGUUUAGCCCCUUGUGGGCAAUGAAGAAAUAACAAACAGAUACAUACACAUACACACACACACACACACACACACUUGGCCUACCUGAUUGUGUGUGUGUUUUCUGGGUGAAGGGCUUCAUUCACUUUCCCUCUCUUUUUCAUUUAGACUUGUGUCUAUUAUACUGCAUUCAGCUAUUAGUGGACAUAGAGAGCAUGUGUAUGUUAAAGGUUCUGGGACCCCCCCUUUCAUGGUCCCUGCUCUUAACAGGGAGACACACAGCCUUCAUCAGUGUAGUCUAAAAAGGCUUUAGGCUUUGUACCGCAUCAUGAUCACCAUCAUAAUAACCAUCAUCACAACCAGCAUCAUCAUCAUCAAGGUAUUUGCCGUCAUCCUCAUCAUCAUCAUCAUCAUCAUCAUUGACACCCAUCAUCUUAUGAUGAUAGUUGUUGUCUUCAUCGUCAUCCACCAUCCUCCACCAACACCACUUCCACCAUCUUCCACCACCACCACCAUCUUCCACCACCACCAUCCUCCACCACCACCAUUUUUCACCAAAGCCACCACCAUCAUCCACCAAUACCACCACUACCAUCUUCAUGAGCUUCACCAUCACCGCCAUCACCACAAUCAUCAUCAUGACAAUCAUCAUUAUCCUCAUCAUUACUAUUUUUUAAUCAUCAUCAUCAUCAUCACCCACCACCACCAUUCUAUUUUUCUUCCAAUAUAGACGAGCAGUAUCAAUACAGUUGUGAUGUUUUGUUGUUGAUGCCCUUACCAUCUUUUUAUUUUGUUACUGUUUGACCUUCCAGCUGCCAAAUGCUAUCACCACCACCACCACCACCACCGCCAUCGCCAUCAUAACCAUCAUCGCCAUCGCCAUUGUCACCAGCAUCAUAAUCAUUUAACGCCUAACAAGAAAGCCACCAAAGACUUUUUGCAACUAUAUUCCAUUUAGAAAAUUGUGAAAGAACAAAUUUACAUUUAUACAUUUGUUGUCUUGUAUUAUAAACAUUAAUGUAUAUCUAUCUCUAUAUCUAUCUAUCUAUCUAUCUAUCUAUCUAUCUAUCUACCUACUUGUUUGUCUAUCUAUCUACUUAUCUAUCUCUAUAUCUAUCUAUCUAUCUAUCUAUCUCUAUAUCUAUCUAUCUACUUAUCUAUCUAUCUAUCUAUCUAUCUAUCUAUCUAUCUAUCUAUCUAUCUAUCUAUCUAGUUAACUAGCUAACUAGAUAUUUGGCUGUGUAUCUAUAUCCAUUUAUAUAUCUAUAUAUACAUAUAUAUGUCUGUCUAUCUCUCCAUAGCUAUCAAACUCUACAACACACACUUACAUGGAUAGGUGUUUGUAUGUGUGUAUGUGCUGAUAUAUAUAUAUAUGUAUAUACAUAUAUAUAUUACACACACACACACAUAUAGAUGUAUAUAUGCACACAUUCGCACAUUACAUACUCACACAUUACAUACUCACACACACACUUAGACAUAUGUAGUUAAGUGCAGGUUACAUACUGGACGUGGUGAUACAAUGAAAUGGGAGUAAAACUCUAAUGAGUAAAAAUCAAAAUAUUUCAUUAACGUUAAUGAAAAUUCUCCACACAAGGGACAAGGGAGAAUACUCGCACAAUUGCAACUGCUCCCAAAACAAAUUCAAAUUAUGUCAAGAACAGAAUUGUGAGUACGAUCUAUGGUAGAUGUCUGGGGUUAACACCGGACCGAUUAAGGGUUAUGUGAACUCCCAACAAAGGAUAAUCGACACAAAGCUAUCUUUCAGAAUUUUUAGUUUUGAUGUGUAAGAGAUUCAUCAAUAAGAUGUGAUAGUGAGUAAAAAAAGGCUAGGGGUGCCUUCUAUAUUAAGAAUAUAUAGUUAAGUGCACGCUACUGGACUUGAUAUAGUGGCAAGCUGAAAGUAGUCAGUGGAGUGACAGAGUUGUUAGAGUGCCAGACAAGAUGUCUCUGCAUUUAUUUUAACACUCAGUGCAGUGAGUUCAAAUCCUGUUGAGGUCAGUUUUGACUUUCAUCCUUCACUUACUUAAACACUUUGUUCCCUGUGAAGGUAGGGGAAGGCAUGGAUGGCUUUUCUCCCCUGGUUUCAAAUCUGGGUUGCCGUUUCUGCUUCUGUCUAAUUAGAUCCCUGCUUUAUUAUUGUUUUUUUUUUCAGUGUCUGUCUGUCUGUCCUGCCUCCAACUAUUUUUAGGGUGUCCUCUUCUUCCACUCCUUUUAUAGAUUCCAGGUCAGAACCUGAUAUAUUCUCCUGGGGGUCAGAAGGAGGGGUUGGUCUUUUCGGUUUCCUUUCAAACCAUGCUGCUACACCACAUCACAUGUUUUCUGCUGAAAGAAGGCCUUCUUUUCCCAGGUCUUGAACUGGCAUCAAUGUUUCUGUGACCAUUUCUUUAAAGGUUGGCUUUAUGUGAAUGCAUUGUUACCAUUAAGAAGAGGUGUUUUCAUGUUAGUCGGACCUUUAUCUUUUGACUGGUCCAGCAUGGGAGGCCCUUACUAGGAGCUUGCAUUCCAGUGGAACAGCUCUCAGGGUCACCAGGGCACACAAAUCACCAUACCACAAGAAUUUGACCACUUUUUGGUGGGCAAGGAUGGAGGUUCAUGAAAAAAUUCCAAUUCAGGGCAGUGAACUGGUGGAAUGACAAGAGUGUAAAGCCAGGUGCCUUGUGGUAUUUGUCCUGGUUCCUUGUUUCCUGAUUUCAAAUCCUACCAUAGCUUGUCUGGAUUGUAGAUUUGAUCAGUUGUCUGGCCCAACCUCACCCCUUGGGUACAUCGAGUACCUUCAGUAGAGUCCACCCUGUUGCAAGCAUUCAUGCCAGGUCAACUGGUUUGAUGAUGCCUUUCUCCAUCUUUCUCAAAAGUCUCAGAGACCUUGCAAAGUGUUACGGGCCCUGUCUUCCCUCCUAAUUAAAGGAUAGCAAAAACUAAUCAAUUUAAACUAUAAGGGAAGUAACAAGGAAUUUUUGUUCACAUUGAAACUAUAAAUUCACAAAGUCAGUUUAUAAUCACCGAGGAGUUUUGUAGUGAAGAGACCACAAUAAGGCAGAAACAUGUCUGGAGCCAUCACUGAAUAGUUGCCCGUGUCCAGUUUGAAAUUCAGUGAGAGUUGAUGCCUGCUGGUAAAAUAUUGGAGGGACAUGAGAAAUGUUUGAUCUAAAAAGCACAUAAAUACACACACACACACACACACACACACACACAUACAUGCACAUACAUAUAUACAUACAUACAUACGUAUAGGGAUAUAUAUAUAUAUAUAUAUAUAUAUAUACAGGCAUACAUAUGUAAUAUAUACAUAUACACAUACAUAUAUACAUGCUUAUAUAAAUAUAUACAUAUUCACAUAGAUAUGUAUACAUACAUAAAUAUAUAUAUAUACAUAUAUACACAAACAUAUACAUAUACAUAGAAACAUACAUACAUACAGAUCGACAGACUUACAGACAUUCGCACAUAUGCACGCACACACACACACACACAUAUAUAUGUAUGUAUGUAUGUAUGUAUGUAUAAGUAAAUAUGUAUAAAACACAUACAUGCAAAUAUUCACAAAGAAACAAAUUGAAAAUGUAUAUAUGCCUUCUAACAACAAAAUAUAACCAAACAUUUCUCCAUAUAUAUAAAAUGGUGUGAUGUAGAGACAUUCAUUCAUCUCCUAGUGAACCUAGUGUGCAACAAUCCAUGUGAUAUUUAAUGUUUUUCUUUUCUGUCAUGGUUCUGCCUUCUGAUUUUGUUUCUUAUCUAUGAUACCGUUGUAUAUAACUAUAAUUAUGGACUGUAUAUAAUUUAAAUAUAUGGUUUAGAUAUAUGUGUAUAUAAUUACUAGAUGUAAAGCUUAAAUAAAGAAUAAAAAGGGCUAGAGUUCCCUGCCAUUGCAAGGCACGUAAAAGACUCUAUUCAGCAGAUGAUCAAUAUAUGUGUAUAUGUAUGUGUAUAUAUAUAUAUAUAUAUAUAUAUAUAUAUACACACACACACACACACACACAUGCACACACACACACACAUACAGAGAAAGAGGUGUAGAGAGAUAUC
rnacentral:lncRNA from 1 species